rnacentral:rRNA from 1 species
AGCUCUUUCGCCAGAGAUGAUAAUGACAGUAUCUGGUAAAGAAACCCCGGCUAACUCCGUGCCAGCAGCCGCGGUAAUACGGAGGGGGUUAGCGUUGUUCGGAAUUACUGGGCGUAAAGCGCGCGUAGGCGGAUUGGAAAGCUAGAGGUGAAAUCCCGGGGCUCAACCCCGGAACUGCCUUUAGAACUCCCAGUCUAGAGUUCGAGAGAGGUGAGUGGAAUUCCGAGUGUAGAGGUGAAAUUCGUAGAUAUUCGGAGGAACACCAGUGGCGAAGGCGGCUCACUGGCUCGAUACUGACGCUGAGGUGCGAAAGUGUGGGGAGCAAACAGGAUUAGAUACCCUGGUAGUCCACACCGUAAACGAUGAAUGCCAGUCGUCGGGUAGCAUGCUGCUCGGUGACACAC